CUUUCCUGCCAGCGAACAACGACUAGUGUACGCUUCGUGUGAUGUGCGGUAAGACCUCACCCGGUGUUCUCAAGGAAGUGUCAAGAGGAGUUCGCAUUAGUGAGUCAGUGGCCAGCCUCGUAUAGUGAAUGGGUUGGGAACACUGAGGAGAGGGACAGUGAAUCGAGACACGUCACUAUUGUGCUACGAGUGUGAUAAGUGCUGCGUGCUGCGUGGUGCGUGCUGCGUCAGACUUGUCACAAGUAUAGCGUCAGGACACACCCGGCCGAUGAUAAUGGAAGGGAUGGACGGCCAUGUAUAAUGCCAGUGGAGGAAAGAACAAUGGGUGUGCGGAAUGCUAAGGAGUCCCUUAUGCUGGCUUGGCGGGGCCAUGGCAUACGUGCUCCACCGCCACCAUGAGGGAUGAGCUGCGCAUACACAAGCAAGCAUGGGCGAGAUCGAGCCGAACAAGAGGACAUUAAGCCAUUCAGAUAUUCACCUAAAUCCUGUGAAAUACACAAUGGUAAACACGCACGUCACGACCCCCAUAAUGAUUGGUGAACAGAUAACCAAGCAACAAACACAGUACGCGGACUUUAAGAAAGACAAGACCUGCCAAGAGAGUCACCUUUCCAUGCCAUCUUGACUGCAUCUCGUGAGUAUUGACUUCACUCUGCGUAGCUCCAUGACUCAGCUCCUCAACACCAGCACACCAGUUCGUCUUCACCACAUGUCAGGAAACAAUUACAGCCAUGUGGAAGAAUAUGGAGCAGCCGAGGGCGCGCCUAAAGAAGGACAGUAAUGGCGAGUAAUGAUAGGAAGCAAGAGAAGGCGCUUAGGGGGAUGGCGAAUUCAAAGAAGGAGAGACGAAAUUAAGUUGUGACAUGAAAAGUGAGUGAAGCAGGCACGUCUGGAGUGGAGGAAUACUUAGGAUGAAGUGCUUACCGAGUAAAAUAAUUGGACACGGCGUGGAAGCUGAUUACUCAAAAUUGCUUUCAGGGGGAUAUGAAUGAUGGAAUUUUUACUCGUCGAAAACUUGCUUGACGUCACUACAUGUAAUAUUAUAAUGCCAGGAAGCUUAUGCUUCAGGAAAUCUAUACUAUAUAGCCACAGUAUGUUCACAGGGAUUCUUUUGUCCAGUCUGCAUCGCCGCGGCCUCUCUGCUACCCUCCACUCACGUUCCAUUCCGUUAAUUAACUAACUUUCCUCACUCACUUUUAUCUAUCUUAUUUACCAAUUUUGUUUAUCUUUUCUCAUUUCCUCUCAGCCUCCUCUGCCAUUGCAACCCCUUCCUCCUCCCUCCGCCUCCGCGCUCACUGUUGCCCCUUCCUUCUCCCUUCUUUAAUACUCUCUCCAUAUGUACCGUGCCUCUCUCUUCCCAGCCCUCGCCGCCCCCGCACCUCUGAUCCCUCUUCCCUCCUUCAUUUCGCUCUUAUCCUCCUUCAUAACCUCCAUGUUCUCCCUCCACCAACUCAUUAUCCUUCACUUCUUUGUCUUCAUAACAUCUGCGUCCCUUUUCUUCCCUUCUUGCUCGCUCUCUUUAUUAUCGUUUUGUGUUUAUUUAAUAUGUUUGGCUACUUUAACUUCUGUGUUUUUCGAGUAAUUCAGAAAAAAAUAUCAUAGAUUUUCGUAAAGUAGUAUUUGAUUGUGGAAGUUUUGUAGUAGUUGGGUAUAAGGAUGAUUCAAUAGCGACACAUUAAUUAGGAAACUUUGAUCCAAAAGAUACGACACCAAGGGGCACGACUCACCCCGAAGUCACGUGAGGGCCACCGCGAUGAAUAUUUAGGUGAAUAUAUUUACAUCCACAAUUAACGGAAUGAGGUAAAAAGUAAAAUUAUUUUAGAGGGAUCACUUUCCUGCCACUGCCACCACUCCAGCCUCCUCUGCCAUCUUUUCUUUCAUUACUUCCACCACCACCACCACCAGCACCACCACCACUGCUACUUCUUCUAGAAUUUCUACCAUUUUUACCGCCACCACCACCACCAUUACUACCUCUACUACCGCCAACACCGCUGCUAGUACUCCUAGAAUUUCAACCACCACCACCACCAACAACAACAACAACAACAACAAUUAGCAACGCAACAUUUACUAACACGAAUUUCCACAUAACCACAAACCACGCUCACCUCGCCCCCUCACCACUACUAACAACACACCCAAACCAAAAAAGCCCGUCACCACCACCACCACCACCACCCUGCCAACACCUACACAACAAUAACACGUUGCAGGAUGCACAGUACUUCGGUUAAUGAGACAGCCUUUGGUGUUUUGUAGCAUCAUUAAGCUCUGCAACGCUGGAAUAAAAAAAAAUAAUAAAAAAUGCUCCGAUGUGUGUGUGUGUGUGUGUGUGUGUGUGUGUGUGUGUGAUAUAACUUUCUAAAUAUUUAUUGCUAGAGCCUUGAAUGUGCCUGAGUGUGCCGUGUUGGAACAAGCUUUCGGGAUGGAAUGGUGGAAUGGAGUGAGGAGCUGGAGGGCUGAUUGGCCAAACUGAUUAAAAAUUUGAAAAGUUGGAAUAACCUGUGAAGUUUUAAUAUCUCAUUAUUCCUUAUAACACGAUCGGUUACUUUAGCGACCAGAAUAUAACAAAUUCCGCUCGCUUUUUGCGAUAAGUCUAGUGUCUCCAGUUUAACUCCAUUAUAAUGCUUUACCAUAUCUCUCCUGGCUGCGCCCAGAUCAAUCUGUCUAUACAAAUAGUACUAUUUCAGUCACGAUACAAACGAACUCCUUUCUUUUUCGGUAAAAGUUGCCAAUACAAGACAAUUUCAAAUUAUUUUUCAUAUUGGGAGAUCGACCCUCGUAAAAAAUUAUUUCCCUGCCCCUUAAAAGGAUAAGGAUCUGGUUCAAAUUACGGAAAGGUUGCGUGAAAAGGUUCUACUAAUGUUUCACUUGAAUGAAGAUACAAUACGAGGGCAAAGAAA